GUCUGACAGAACUGUGUGGGCCACUCAGCGGCUCUGCGGAGAUUAGGGCGCUAGGACCCAGAAGGAGGAAACGGGCGGUGCGCAGUGCCGGGGGCCUAGAGGCCAAGGUCCCAAACCGACCCCAGAGGGGAAAGGCAGCAGGACCGGCUAGAGUUAGGGCAACCGCCCUAGGAAGACUCGUUACGCUGUUUCUACUCUACUGUUGUUCAUUGGUUAUAGAGCAGAGGGGACGGUAAAUUAUGGAAUCAUGAACAGCAGUAUCCAGCAGUAUCCAGCAGUAUCCAGUGUCCAGCAAGGUUUUGUUCCAUCUGGAGACCUGAACCUUGUGGCUCUCUCUGAGUGGAGAACAUAAACACCAUGAUGGGGGUGAAAUUGCAGUCUGAAUUGAUAAGGGAGGAAGUCAAACAGGUGGUGAGGAAGACCAUAUACAAGGAGGCUUUAGGUACCUGAUCUUGUGAAACUGCCAUAUCAUAGUUCCAUCUAGCCUGAAAUUUUGGCUUAGGUUUUUCCGCCAAGAAAGAAAAAACACUGUAUCUUUUGUUUGUUAAUUUUGCAGUGGUGUGG